GUGGACUCCCGUGGUCUUGUAAGGGCUGCUGAUGUACAGAAGCUGAGAAGAUCAUGAAUGAUUUUGGAAGCAGAAGAGUUAUCACAUCGAGUGAAAAUAUAAGUGCAGUGACAGUGCAUAGUGAAGGAAAAUGGCAGAUGUGGCAGCCGUGCUGGUCAGUGGCUGAGGAAGACCCUCCACCUGCUCCGAGAGCAUCCCAGUAACUGCCGUGUCACCUUACCCAGAUCUUCAGGGUGAGGUGGAGUUUUAUCAUGGGACACGAUGACUAGAGAUAAAUCAUUUACUGAAAUGAGGACUACUCUCCAAAAAUGCAACAGCAAAGUUUCUGUGCUAUG